CAGCCGCCGCGGGAAUACGUAGGGUGCAAGCGUUAAUCGGAAUUACUGGGCGUAAAGCGUGCGCAGGCGGUUAUAUAAGACAGAUGUGAAAUCCCCGGGCUCAACCUGGGAACUGCAUUUGUGACUGUAUAGCUAGAGUACGGCAGAGGGGGAUGGAAUUCCGCGUGUAGCAGUGAAAUGCGUAGAUAUGCGGAGGAACACCGAUGGCGAAGGCAAUCCCCUGGGCCUGUACUGACGCUCAUGCACGAAAGCGUGGGGAGCAAACAGGAUUAGAGACCCCCGUAGUCCCUGUCUCUUAUAU
rnacentral:rRNA from 1 species